AUUGAACGCUGGCGGCAUGCCUUACACAUGCAAGUCGAACGGCAGCACGGGUGCUUGCACCUGGUGGCGAGUGGCGAACGGGUGAGUAAUAUAUCGGAACGUACCUUAUUGUGGGGGAUAACGCAGCGAAAGCUGUGCUAAUACCGCAUAAUCCCUAAGGGGGAAAGCGGGGGACCGUAAGGCCUCGCGCAAUUAGAGCGGCCGAUACCUGAUUAGCUAGUUGGUGAGGUAAAGGCUCAACAAGGCAACGAUCAGUAGCUGGUCUGAGAGGACGAUCAGCCACACUGGGACUGAGACACGGCCCAGACUCCUACGGGAGGCAGCAGUGGGGAAUUUUGGACAAUGGGGGCAACCCUGAUCCAGCAAUGCCGCGUGAGUGAAGAAGGCCUUCGGGUUGUAAAGCUCUUCCGCAAGGGAAGAAAACUCGAUCUCUAAUAUAGGUUGAGGCUGACGGUACCUUGAUAAGAAGCACCGGCUAACUACGUGCCAGCCGCCGCAGUAA
rnacentral:rRNA from 1 species